AUUGAACGCUGGCGGCAUGCCUUACACAUGCAAGUCGAACGGCAGCACGGGGCAACCUGGUGGCGAGUGGCGAACGGGUGAGUAAUGCAUCGGAACGUACCUUUCAGUGGGGGAUAACGUAGCGAAAGUUACGCUAAUACCGCAUAUUCUGUGAGCAGGAAAGCAGGGGAUCGCAAGACCUUGCGCUGAUUGAGCGGCCGAUGUCAGAUUAGCUAGUUGGUGAGGUAAAGGCUCACCAAGGCGACGAUCUGGAGCGGGUCUGAUAGGAUGAUCCGCCACACUGGAACUGAGACGCGGUCCAGACUCCUACGGGAGGCAUCAGUGGGGAAUUUUGGACAAUGGGGGCAACCCUGAUCCAGCCAUGCCGCGUGAGUGAAGAAGGCCUUCGGGUUGUAAAGCUCUUUCGGCCGUGAAGAAAUCGCACGGGCUAAUACCCUGUGUGGAUGACGGUACCGGAAUAAGAAGCACCGGCUAACUACGUGCCAGCCGCCGCCGUAAAAC
rnacentral:rRNA from 1 species